UGAGUGUGUUCAAAGCGAGGAGAUUUGAGGAAGUGUGUCCUUCCUUCUCCUAAACUUAAAAUGUCAAGUCAGUGCAUUUUCGAUCACACUGCCUAAGUCGUACUGAAAUGUGUUCACAUCACUUCUGCCACAGAGCUCUACCCGUAGCAGGAUGGUGUCAAUGACCGAAGACUGUCACUCACCGGGGGAAGCUGAGCGCUGCGACAGAGGAAGGCACCUGAGGAGAGGGUGGACUCGUGGUUCCCAGCGGCAGGAACGGAGAGUGAGCUUACAUUAAGGUAGUUUAUUAACAGGAAACAGCUGGAGUCUUGUUCACAGACGGUGAGCUCCCUGUCUGAGGGUGCUGUCAGAGGGGAUGGGGUGACAUCCUCCGUCCUCGGGUCUUCACGCCCAGGAGAGCAAGGGCUCUAAGGGCUGGUGGGGCACCGGCCCAGGGCUCUCAGUCCUGUUUCCUGCUGUGGCCCGGAGUGUGAUACGCAGGGCGGCGAUGCCCAACUUCCCGCACCUCUGGGCUCCGUCCCGGGCAGUGGCCUGGCAGUGUGCAAGGAGGAUGCAUCCCGCUCAGCCUUCCCCUUUGUCCCACCAGCACGUGACAGUGACAGGUGAGUCCCUGGCCAGAAAGACCCGUGACAUGGAUGAAAGUGUGUGGAAGGACGCGAAGAAGGGGUGGACACCAAAUUUCUCUCCCUCAGCCACCUGAGGGCCUGCUCCGCCUCUUUCCUUCCCCGUGAGCUGCUGCUCCGGCCGGCUGUCUCCAGACUCCACCACCAGGAAGAGCGGGUGGAGAGGGCAGCAGGGGGCUUGUUCUCAGCAGAGGUGAGCGACUUUCAGAAAAGUCCCAAAGGCCGCAGAGAAUUUUCCCUGAACCUUUGGAGAACAGCGCCCACAGCAACCCGGGGAACUCAGCGUCUCUUGCACGAGCAUGUGCUCUGCUGAAAAUCACAGCAGAGGCAACGCAGUCAGGGCAUGGGCAGGACACACGGCCGCCAGCUCAUCCCCAAGUUUGCCCCCAAAUGCCCUUAAAAGGAUCUGUUCAGGAGACGGGUGUGGCAUUUAGCCGGCACAUUCAUGCAUCCCCAACACCGGGAGACCGCUCGCAGCCCCGCCUUUCCAGCCUGCACACGCGACAUCCCCCUCGGCCGAUGCUUCCUUGCACCUGGUCCAAGCCCAGCAUCUCCGGCAGGGCAGCCCAGGAGCCCUGGCCCCGUGCCCUCGGGAGGGCCAACGUCAUCUGCCUAGGAUGCUGAGUGGGGACAGGGCACUGCUGCUUUCUCCCUUGGUUAGUGCUAAGUACUGGGUGCAAGCAGAAAAUGCGGUGUGUUCAGAUCUAACAGUGAUUACGCCAGAAGGCGGGACGAGUUUGCUGCACUAAGAUCGCUCGGGAUUUUCGAAUUUGCGGCCUACUGAAGCCGGUGCGUAAGCAGGAGCAGCUUUUAACCCAGUUUCCCCGGGAAGCGCACAGGCGCUGUCCUGCGCUGAGCCCGCCACCGCUGCCGAGUUAGACGGCAUCGAGGUAAGAGGAAAACUUCAGCUCCUUCCUGGAUGACGGUGUGAGAGACUCCGGAGGCCUGGAGUCUCCGACCCCAGUGCACGUCCGUCCGCGGGGGCUUCCGCGGGCUGCGGUUCUCUCGGGGACGGACACUGGGGAUCCAAGCUGCAGGUCUGAGACUCGGGAAUCUGCAAACCUGCAGUGUCUGGAGCCAGAGGCAGGCGACCUCGGGCCCAGGCCACCUCCCGUCUGUUCACAAAGUCAGGGCAGCAGGAGGAGAGAGGCCGGGGCAGGAACGGCGUGAGCACGAAGUGCCCGGGUACGGGGCGCCAGCAACUGCUGGCCGUGACCUUCCUGCUCACCGCAGCCGCACAGGCAGGCCCCCCUCCACGCAGGCAGCCCCAGGCCCCAGGCCGAGUCAGGUGCCUCCUCACGUGCCCUCUGCAGUUACAAAACUCGGGAGAGGGAAGCCAGGGUGGGGAAGCCACCCUUUCCCACAUUUCUCCUUUCGGGGAUUUUGGAGAAGGCGGGGACCUCGGCCUCCCUGGGCGUGCGUGCUAACCAGCACUUCUUCCUUCUCAAUUCUGCUUCUCCUCAGCCGCUGCAGGAAGCCACCACACUGCCCACCUGUGUCAGAGGUGAACCCCUUCCCCGCCAGGGACCCGCAGCCCCCCACCCCUGACACAGUCAGAAAGAUGCGCAGGGGAAAGCUUCUUUUAGCCCAGGUCGGCCGACCCGGCUUCUUACCUUGCCCCUCUGAGGGGUUUCCGCUUGGGGCUCUGAGGCUCGCUCCCAGCCCUGCCCACCUUGUGACUUCCCGUGGGGCCGUCGCCACAACCCUGUUCCGGAACAGCUCUCCCCUCCAGCUCCACGCUGCCUUCUGGAUUCAGAGGAAGGGAGGGAGGGAGCGAGCGGGAAGUGAAGUACCUUCUCUUGCCCAAUGGACACAGGGAGCCCAGCCUGGCCACGCUCAGGAGCCCCGCCUGUCCGACCCUGGGCCUGCAGGGCUGCACAACCACACAGAGUCACCCUGCCCCCGGCACAGCGGCUCUCGCCUGUCUGCCCGUGGGUCUGGGGGUUGCCUUCGACAUAGUCCCAGUACACCCAAGGGCAGGGCAGACCUGACCCUGGGAGGGGUGCUUCCUGGCUCAUCCUCUGUGCAUAGCUCACAUGAGUGCAUCUCGAACACACACACACACACACACACACACACACACACAUGCACGCACACACACAUACACGCACACAUGCCCGGCCCUGGGGCCUUCCCUGAGCACCUCACUGCGAGGUGGAGCUUUUCUCACCCUUUUGCAAGCCCUGUCUGUUUACUUUGGGUGUUUUUCUCACCAGCCGCGCUCGUUGACUGCCGUUUCUCUCUUCCUCAUUGCGAAGGCUGCACUUAGCUGAACAGGAACUAGCAGAACACACCACGAUGUCCCAAGCGACCCUCGCGGGCACACUGUUGCACCACGGCUCCUGCCCUUUCACCUCCUCACACCCGAAGGCCCCCGCCAGGCCCACUCACAACUGAACUGUGCUUUAACGCCACCCGCUGAGAACCGGGAGAGCCCGAUGCACCGUACCUUGCGUGUUUUCAAGAUAGCAUUUGCAGUGUGUGCUCAUCCAGAUGCUAUAGGAGAAACUGAAAUGACUGCUCGGGUGGAACGGCUGGUCAUUGGAAACCUUGACGUCUGCACUGAGACCAAGUCUACUCAAGGGGCGCUCCAGGAGAUGAACCUGAGUUGGAGGAAGGAGUGGGAGCCGUGCAGGGUUUUCCCGGCAAGGGCGGCUGCGUGGACCACUGCCCCCUGCACUGCAGGGCUGGGCUCGGCCGCCUGCGCUGUUCCCGCUAUCCCUGGUUCGCAGCAGCAGCCGAGGCUCGGGCUCUGCCCCAGGCACGGGGCACGUCUGUGCAGUGCUAGGCAGGCAGGAAGCCCGAAGGGCCUCCCCCGGCCUGGUGCAGCCGAUGAGCCUGUUCCCAGGCUUCAGCUCUUCCCUGCCGGCUCUGCUUGUCGCUGGCUUGGGCUUUGGUGCCAGUAGGGCAGGGCCAGCUCCCCCACUCUGCGAGAUGCCCCUGCAAGUUUCCAUCCCCACUGCUGCUUGGGUGACCGCCUCCUGUCCCCUGCUCCCCUCCCCCCUGUCCACAGCGUGGUUGGGGGCAGCGCGGCCUCUCUGUGAGGCCCUCCAGGGUUCUCCUGGGUCUGCUGUCCCACCGCAGUGAGGAAGGUGGUACUUGCUAAGCCUCAGGGAUCUGGGCGUGCACUGGAUGCCGGCCUCAGAGAGGAGACUGACUGCUUGCAGACGGCGGGUUCAAGGGUGCUGUCGCCUCCUCCCCUCGCAACACGGCACAGAGGUCAGGGUCAUUCCCACUUCCCUGGGGAGGUCGCGCACAGAAGACCUGAUGCCUGCUCGUGCCUCUGGAGGAGUUGCUCCAGGGACAUCCACAGCUGAGUCCUCCUGCCUCAGCCUCCCAAAUGCUUGGACUACAGGCAUGUGCCACUACAGCCAGGCUGUUAGAUUACUUCUAACUCUAAACUUCACUUAGAUUUCACCAGACUUUCAGCUAAUUUUCUUUUUCUGAUUCAGCUCUGGUUACCACAUGGCACCCAGAACAAGUUAGGAUUAUUUUCUUCUCCAUAAAAUUAAAACAGCAAAAAUCUCUUCUUAGAGAGUAACAGUGGAUGAACUUUAUAAGAAGUGGGUAGAAUUAAUCCAUAAGAAACAAGGCAAACUGAGUGUGGUGCACAUGCCUAUAAUCGCAGCACUCAGGAGGCUGAGGCAGGAGGAUUGCCAUGAGUCUGAGGCCAGCUGGGGUUCAUGGUAUGUUCAACGCCAGCCUGAAAUGCAUAGUGAGACCCUGUCCCAAAAAGCCCCAGAAAACCACCCUCCCAAAGCCCAAAUCAAACCAAAGCAAACAAAAAACAUAAGGCAGUGAGUGUCUUAGGCUUUGCAGUCCAUACGACCUCUGCAGUAACUACUCAGCUCUGCCAUGAUAGAGCAGACAAUGACAUCAGGUAAGUGUGCAUGUGCAUACCUGUGUUCUAAUAAAACUUUAUUUAUAAAGAUGUGCAAAAGAAAAAAAGACAUGUACCUCAAUGGGCAAGUUUUGCUGACCUUCAACUUUAUUGAUCUGUGAUUCAGCAUCAAACUUGAUUUACCAGUCACAUACACUCUGCCUUCCCUUACUGGUACCAACCAUGUGGGACUUUUCUUUGUACUGCCCUUAGAUGAACGCUUGUGUGCUGAAGGAUCUACUCAGAUCCCUGUACCAUGGUGUAGACUGGAAGGGGCCAAACUCCCUUCACUGUUUUCUCUCCUAGGAGCUGUGCUCAGAGAUUCCCUGUGAAAGAUACUCCCCAGGCAUCACAGGGAUCCGCGCCGGCCACUUGUGAGAAUCAUGAUGUGAAAGUGCGGACUCCCUGCCUGCGGGCCAGGACUUCUGAGACAACCGUUCAGCCCAGCUAAGGAGCUCCGCGUACCUGGGGGGACUCUGCUGCGGCUCACUGGCUUUUCAGCAGUGACAGAUUCACUGCGUGCUCUGAGUCAAGCUUUUAUAAAAACGUGGGUUUUAUUUUUCAGAGAAGUACUUUAGGUUGAGAGCGAAGUCCAAGAGUCCCCACGUACCCGUCCUGCGCGUGGGCAGCGUUCUGAGCCCAGUGCUCGGUGCUGCUCAGUUCGGGCUGCGCUUGCUCUGCCCCGGGCUGCGCCGGCGUUGAACACCCUGCGGGGUGUGUCUCUGAGGGUUUGGAAGGAGACCCAUGCUUGAACCCACAGACUGAGGAAAGCACCUGACUGAGAGAGUGGGUGACCUUCUCCGGCUGGCUGCAGCGUCCCCUCGGUCAGGGGCCCGGAGGGAGCCCUUCCGGCCGGACCCGCUGAUCCGGGCCCCGCGCUCCCUCCCUCCCACUGGAGCUGAACACGUGGGCCCAGCCUGUCUCCAGCUGCGCCGUCAGCCUUCCCGGGUGUGCGGGCCGUGGGACUCGUCAGACUCCAGAGACACAGGACCUGACCCCCUACACUACAUCUGUCUCUGUUGGCUCUGUUUCUGGAGCAGGGAUCCCCAGUCCCCAGGCCAGGAACCCACGCCUGAUAAGAACCCAUCCUGUCACUGCCUGGCCCUGCCUCCUGUCAGAGCUGCGGUAGCGCUGGAGCCCCUCCGAGAGCUGUGCGCAGCGAUCGAGGCUGUGAGUCCUCUGAGGCCUGAGACCCUUCCAGCUGCCGCCCCCAGCCCCAACUACUGCCACAAAACCGGCCUCUGACACCAAAAAGACCGGGGACCUCUGCCCUGGGGAACCGGCGCCCGCACGCUGGCCCCUGCGCCGCAGCACACACUUCUCUCAGUGGGUGGUCUAUCCGCACAGGCUUCACCCAGAGUCCACCGUGCAGUCGUGCUUGAGGUCUUUUACCAAUUUUUAAAAAGUGUGUUAUGUGCUUACUGUUGAAUUUUGAGUUCCUUGUGCAUUUUGUGUGAUAGACCUCUAUCAAAAAUGUCGUUCGCAAACAUCUUCUGCCAGUAUUUUAGUGCCCCCGUUUACGGCUUGUCUGUCUCUUCCCACUGUCUUCCUCAGCGUAGAAGGUUUAAAUUUUGGCACGGUCGCACUUCCCAAGGGUCUCGCCUGUGACCCAGGCCUUGGACGCUGAGGCUGGAAGUCAUCACCAAGCCCACAUCAUCUCAAUUUUCUUUUCUCUUGCGAUUAGGAGUUACGUGAUUUUGCAUUCCAGUUAAUUUUCAUGAAAUAUGUCUAGAUUUAUUUUUUAAAUAAGUGCGAUGCCCAGUGGCCCUGGCACGCUUUGCGGAAGCUUUCUUCAUCAAGCAGCCGAUUCCUUGUUGAAGACUGUCUGUGUCUGGGGGCAUCAGCUGGCCUCUCCCCUGCUGCGUUGCGGAUAGUACUGUCUUGAUUGCUGCCCCUGGUACGUAAGCCUUGAGACUGGGAAAUCAGUCCUCCCACUUUGUCCUCCUUCAAUAUUGUAUUGGGUUUGUUAAUCUCUUAAAAUUUUUUUAUGAAACUUAGCAAUAAAAUUUUUUAACCGUAUGUCUUUUUUACGACACAUAAACUGCAUAUUGCUUUUAACUGAAAUAUCAUAUAGGUGUGUAUAUAAAAUUUGAAAAUCUUUACUUAUAGGUCUUACUUUCCCCCUCUCAGAACUUCCAAACUGUCAUGUAGCUCUAAUGCUCUUGUUUUCUAGACUUU